UACAGAGGUCCCGAGCGUUGUUCGGAUUCAUUGGGCGUAAAGGGUUUGUAGGCGGCUUCCUAAGUUUGAUGUGAAAUCCUGGGGCUCAACCCUGGAACUGCAUUGAAUACUGGGAGGCUAGAGUACUGGAGAGGAAACUGGAAUUUACGGUGUAGCAGUGAAAUGCGUAGAGAUCGUAAGGAAGACCAGUGGCGAAGGCGAGUUUCUGGACAGUUACUGACGCUGAGGCACGAAGGCCAGGGGAGCAAACGGG
rnacentral:rRNA from 1 species